GACGAACGCUGGCGGCAGGCCUAACACAUGCAAGUCGAGCGGAGCGGCGGACGGGUGAGUAAUGCCUAGGAAUCUGCCUGGUAGUGGGGGAUAACGUCCGGCAACGGGCGCUAAUACCGCAUACUAUCAGAUGAGCCUAGGUCGGAUUAGCUAGUUGGUGGGGUAACGGCCUACCAAGGCGACGAGCCGUAACUGGUCUGAGAGGAUGAUCAGUCACAAUGGAACUGAGACACGGUCCAGAUACGUAGGGGUGGCAGCAGUGGGGAAUGUUUGACAAGGGGCGAAAGCCUGAUCCAGCCAUGCCGCGGGUGUGAAGAAGGUCUUCGGAUUGUAAAGCACUUUAAGUUGGGAGGCGUUACCAACAGAAUAAGCACCGGCUAACUUCGUGCCAGCAGCCGCGGUAAUAC
rnacentral:rRNA from 1 species